rnacentral:rRNA from 1 species
GUCUACGGCGAUGCUACCCUGAACAAGCCCGAUCUUGUCUGAUCUCAGAAGCUAAGCAGGGUCGGGCCUGGUUAGUACUUGGAUGGGAGACCACCUAGGAAGACCAGGUACUGUAGGCG